GUUGUAGUCUGGAGAAGUGCUUUCCGCGCCGGACCGUGUACAAGUCUCUUGGAAUAGAGCGUCAUAGAGGGUGAGAAUCCCGUCUUUGACACGGACUACCGGUGCUUUGUGAUGCGCUCUCAAAGAGUCGAGUUGUUUGGGAAUGCAGCUCAAAAUGGGUGGUAAAUUCCAUCUAAAGCUAAAUAUUGGCGAGAGACCGAUAGCGAACAAGUACCGUGAGGGAAAGAUGAAAAGCACUUUGGAAAGAGAGUUAAACAGUACGUGAAAUUGCUGAAAGGGAAACGCUUGAAGUCAGUCGCGUCGUGCAGAACUCAACCUUGCUUUCGCUUGGUGCACUUUCUGUACGACGGGCCAGCAUCAAUUUUGACCGUCGGAUAAAGGCCGAAGGAAUGUGGCACCCGUUUGGGUGUGUUAUAGCCUUCGGUCGCAUACGGCGGUUGGGAUUGAGGAACGCAGCGCGCCGCAAGGUGGGGCUUCGGCCUACUUUCGCGCUUAGGAUGCUGGCAUAAUGGCUUUAAACGACCCGUCUUGAAACACGGACCAAGGAGUCUAACAUGCCUGCGAGUGUUUGGGUGGAAAACCCGAGCGCGUAAUGAAAGUGAAAGUUGAGACCUCUGUCGUGGAGGGCAUCGACGCCCGGACCAGACGUUUACUGACGGAUCCGCGGUAGAGCAUGUAUGUUGGGACCCGAAAGAUGGUGAACUAUGCCUGAAUAGGGUGAAGCCAGAGGAAACUCUGGUG
rnacentral:rRNA from 1 species